rnacentral:rRNA from 1 species
UACGAAGGGGGCUAGCGUUGUUCGGAUUUACUGGGCGUAAAGCGCACGUAGGCGGACUAUUAGGUCAGGGGUGAAAUCCCGGGGCUCAACCCCGGAACUGCCUUUGAUACUGGUAGUCUUGAGUUCGAGAGAGGUGAGUGGAAUUCCGAGUGUAGAGGUGAAAUUCGUAGAUAUUCGGAGGAACACCAGUGGCGAAGGCGGCUCACUGGCUCGAUACUGACGCUGAGGUGCGAAAGCGUGGGGAGCAAACAGG